AACCUUCAAAUUUUGAAUCUAUUUCUUCUUUUUCGUGUGUUUAGUAUUCAUUCAUAUAUAAUAUUCGAUUAGUUAAAAUUUUGACUUUGCCACCCCAACUGAUAUUAUUAGUAGGGACCAAACUACAAGUGAUCAUAACAAAAAUGGGAUUAAGAAUUCAAGAAAGGGGAGAAGUAGUGAAAGGUGUCGCUGUGCUUCAGCCUGGAGAUGAUUUAUUUUGGUUCAAUCGUCCUCGUUUCUUCUUUACCUAAUUAAUUUUGUGCUUCUUCAGAAUGCUUUGCAAUUGGCUUUCUUUUCUUGGACUUGGUACGAAUUUUGGGCUGAAAUCUUGUUUCGGGGACAAAACUGAGCACAUCGUCAUUAGAAUGACAACGGGGUAUGUGUUAAUUAUCUUCUAAUUAAUUAAAACUCUUUUAUCUUUAAUUAUAGUUUGGAUUUCUUGUUAAACUUUUUCAUAAUUUGAUUGAAAUUACUUACAUAUGAAAAUGUUUGUUUAAUUUUGGAGCAGGGUUCUUAUUCAAAUUCUU